GAUGAACGCUAGCUACAGGCUUAACACAUGCAAGUCGAGGGGCAGCAUUUUUAUAGCAAUAUAAAGAUGGCGACCGGCGCACGGGUGAGUAACACGUAUCCAACCUGCCGAUAACUCGGGGAUAACCCUUCGAAAGAAGGCCUAAUACCCGAUGGCAUAUCCCUUCCGCCUGGUUGGGAUAUUAAAGAACUUCGGUUAUCGAUGGGGAUGCGUUCCAUUAGCUUGUUGGCGGGGUAACGGCCUACCAAGGCGACGAUCCAUAGCCGGCCUGAGAGGGUGGACGGCCACAUUGGGACUGAGACACGGCCCAGACUCCUACGGGAGGCAGCAGUGGGGAAUAUUGCACAAUGGGGGAAACCCUGAUGCAGCGACGCCGCGUGAGCGAAGAAGUAUUUCGGUAUGUAAAGCUCUAUCAGCAGGGAAGAAAUGACGGUACCUGACUAAGAAGCCCCGGCUAACUACGUGCCAGCAGCCGCUGU
rnacentral:rRNA from 1 species